rnacentral:rRNA from 1 species
GACGUAGGGCGCGAGCGUUGUCCGGAUUUAUUGGGCGUAAAGAGCUCGUAGGCGGCCUGUCGCGUCGACUGUGAAAACCCGCGGCUCAACUGCGGGACUGCAGUCGAUACGGGCAGGCUAGAGUUCGGUAGGGGAGACUGGAAUUCCUGGUGUAGCGGUGAAAUGCGCAGAUAUCAGGAGGAACACCGGUGGCGAAGGCGGGUCUCUGGGCCGAUACUGACGCUGAGGAGCGAAAGCGUGGGGAGCGAACAGG